CCUACGGGUGGCAGCAGUAGGGAAUCUUCCACAAUGGGCGAAAGCCUGAUGGAGCAACGCCGCGUGGGUGAAGAAGGUCUUCGGAUCGUAAAACCCUGUUGUUAGAGAAGAAAGUGCGUGAGAGUAACUGUUCACGUUUCGACGGUAUCUAACCAGAAAGCCACGGUUAACUACGUGCCAGCCGCCGCGGUAAUACGUAGGUGGCAAGCGUUAUCCGGAUUUAUUGGGCGUAAAGGGAACGCAGGCGGUCUUUUAAGUCUGAUGUGAAAGGCUUCGGCUUAACCGGAGUAGUGCAUUGGAAACUGGGAGACUUGAGUGCAGAAGAGGAGGGUGGAACUCGAGGUGUAGCGGUGAAAUGCGUAGAUAUAUGGAAGAACACCAGUGGCGAAAGCGGCUCUCUGGUCUGUAACUGACGCUGAGGUUCGAAAGCGUGGGUAGCAAACAGGAUUAGAUACCCCUGUAGUC
rnacentral:rRNA from 1 species